GACGAACGCUGGCGGCGUGCUUAACACAUGCAAGUCGAACGGAAAGGCCCUGCUUUUGUGGGGUGCUCGAGUGGCGAACGGGUGAGUAACACGUGAGUAACCUGCCCUUGACUUUGGGAUAACUUCAGGAAACUGGGGCUAAUACCGGAUAGGAGCUCCUGCUGCAUGGUGGGGGUUGGAAAGUUUCGGCGGUUGGGGAUGGACUCGCGGCUUAUCAGCUUGUUGGUGGGGUAGUGGCUUACCAAGGCUUUGACGGGUAGCCGGCCUGAGAGGGUGACCGGGCAACUUGGGACUGAGGUACGGCCCAGACUCCUACGGGGGGCAGCAGGGGGGAAUAUUGCACAAUGGGCGGGAGCCUGAUGCAGCAACGCCGCGUGCGGGAUGGCGGCCUUCGGGUUGUAAACCGCUUUCGCCUGUGACGAAGCGUGAGUGACGGUAAUGGGUAAAGAAGCACCGGCUAACUACGUG
rnacentral:rRNA from 1 species